rnacentral:sRNA from 1 species
UUUUAGCCCCGAUUGGAACGGCAUCCUUUUUUGGCACGAGCGAAGCGAGCGCUAAAAAAGAUAUAGUGGAAAGCGGGACGCGUU